rnacentral:sRNA from 1 species
GUUAAAUAUUACUCAUGGAGAUGGGAGCUUGCAGGGCAGCCCUAAGCAUGGAAGUGGACUAGUCUCUGAAAGGUGCUGGGUGGAGGCAGACGCCAGUCCCGAAGCCUCGGAAGACCCCGAAACACACCCGAUGAAAGCUGUAAAGUUUCUAAGUAACAGACCGGGCUGUUCCUCAGUGCUCAAAUGCCUGGCUCACACGCAACACCUUGGGUCUACGCUAGCACCACACGGGUACAUAAAACCAAAGUGCUGUGUCGGUUUUGUCCAGGAACAUUAACAGUGAUUGAUUUCAGUUUAAAACAUUUUUAUGGAGGCCGGAGAGUUCGCUACAAGACGGCGAAGAGCACUUGUUGCUGUCGCAGAGGACCUGGGUUCUAUUCUGAGCGCACACACACAGCGGCUCACGGUCGUCUGUCAACGCCAGUCCCAUGGGACCUGACGCGCACCCUCUGCUGAACUCAGCAGUCAGCAGGCAUAUACAAGGUGUACAAACAGUGAUGCAGACAACACACACACACACACACACACACACACACACACACACUAAUAAAAUAAAUAAACUAAAAAUGUUAAAAA